rnacentral:lncRNA from 1 species
AUAAACAUUGCAAUAUAUAAUAGAUGGAAGAGUAAUAAAAUUUGUCUUACAAUCGCCACAAGCUAAAUUACAGAUCCACACAGCCAUUCAUUAUUUCGAUAUAAAACAGGGUCCGAGUACGGACAAGAUAGACGACAAAAUUUAAUGCUAUCCCACCUUGCUAGGACCACGAUCACGACCAAGUGCCUCUAGUCCUCGGGGUACGUCACAUGCAACCGGCCACAGUCCUCGUCAAACUCCCACUUCAGCUGGGUAUCCUCGGAAGCAUUUGUAUCUGGGGUACCUGUACCUGUGGGUGGUUGUAGUAAUCUGUGAGCCACAAGGACUCAGCAAUCUCAUGACCUUAGAUUCGAAUCUAACUAAGUCACUAGGUGAGGAUGGGGUAUGUGUUUGGGUUUGCGGCAACCUAAGCAUUUAUAGUGGCUAACUUACAUUGAACAAGAAUUAAAGAUAUGGUGGUCUACGCAUGACGUUCGUUAACUAAGAAUAAUCACUAAGUGAUCCUGGACGCCAACUUACAUCAGUCAUAACCCCACCAUGUUCUCGAUUAGAGAAGGAACUCUGAAGGAGACAUUCCCAGUUACGCACACAGUUGGCAUGUUUUAAUUAAGUUACUUAAAGUUAUCUAGAACCGGAUGUUAACAAAGUUUCCAUGUUUGCCACAUAACCGCGGACAUGGCUUUCCAAAAGAUUUAACCCUGCAGGGGUGUUCGAAUUAAUCCAUCACAAAUUACCACAGGACGCAUAGAAAUCGUCGAUCAUGAAUGUCGUGACCUCGUUGGAUUCCUUAGUGGAAAACCUCAACUCAGAGAAGACCCAAAGUCUCACCGGAAUCCCAAUGCACAAGAUAUAUCGUUAAGGUAAGACAAGUCAAGCAAGACCUCUCGACAUGUCGACGAACCCGAUGAGCGCGUAUCUCGUUGUCAAGACACGACGGAUAAGCGAUGGUUACGACACCAAAACACCGAGUUACCCCAGGGAGCAUUAAUAAGCUGCUCUGGGUUGGACCAACACUCAUGAGGAUCACUGGCCUGGGGGUUGAUUAAUUCUCCUCGGGGUAGCUAUUCCCUAUGCUUUUAUUAUUAAGAUGUUAGCAAAUUAACACCAAAGUUGGGUCUUGCCAGACAACCCUUAGUCUAAACAAUUUACCAAGGGGGUCCCCAUAACAACCCCGAACGUGUUUGGUCCGCUCAGUUAUGGAAUAAAACAUCGGAAGCCGAAACUAAUAUGUGAGGAUGGGGUAUGUGUUUGAGUUUGCAGGAACCUAAGCAUUUAUGGUGUAUAACUUACGUUGAACAAGAAUUAAAGAUAUAGUGGUAUACGCAUGACGAUUGUGAACUAAGAAUAAUCACUAAUAGAUCAUAAACGCCUACUUACAUCAUUCACAACCCCACCUAUUCUCGAUGAGAGAAGGAUCUCUGAAGAAGAUAGUCACGGUUACACACAGUUGGCAAGUUUUAAUUAAGUUACUUUAAGUCAUCUAGAACCGGGUGCUAACAAAGUAUCCAUGUUUGCCACAUAGCCGCAGCACGGCUUUCCGAAAUAUUUAACCCUACAGGGGUGCUCCGACUAAUCCAUCACAAAUUACCACAGGCCCCAUAGAAACCCUCGAUCAUGAAAUUCGUGAUCUCGUCGGAUUUCUUAGUGGAAAACCUCAACUCUAUGAAGACCAAAGUCUCACCGGAAUUCCAAUGCACAAGAUAUAUCGUUAAGGUAAGACAAGUCCAGCAAGACCACCCGAUGUGUCGACGAACCCGAUAAGAGCCGCAUAUCUCGUUCUCACGACAGAAUAGAUGGAACUAGCUAUGGGGAAAACCAAUCCCCACCUCGUGGUGGUGCAGGCAGUACAUUUUGGACCAACAAUCAUGAGGAGCACUGGCCCGGGUUGUUGAUUAAGUCUCCUCGGGGUAGCUAUUCCCUAUGCUUUUUAUUAAGUUGUUGGCAAAUUUAACACCAAAGUUGGGUCUUGCCAGACAAGCUUAACACUAAACGAUUUACGAAGGGGGUCCCCAUAGCAACCCCGAAGCUGUUAGGAGCGCUCAGUUAUGGAAUAAAACAUCGGUUGCCGAAACUAAGGUGGCAAAGGCGGAACAAAUCACCUAGAAAGAAGCCAGGUCUUCCGCCUUUUACCAAGUAUAUAGGUGCAUUAAUUAAAUAACAUUUAAAAUAAGAUGAUAAUAAAAUUGCCCAUGUUAUCACAUGGAUGAGCUUGCACCUGCAACUAGCAACGCUAAUGAAAUUGUUGAGCAAGCCUAACUUAGCCAAACAAUAUUUGCUAGGAGGGGAAAUGUUAGAGGUUUCAUGGCAAUGUUUGAUGGCAUAUAUAUCAUGUGGUAGGCAGCGGAAAAAACGGUGGAAAUGAAUCAACUAUUCAUAACAAAGCUAUAAACGGUGUCAAGGUCAUGAUCAUCUUGUGUGUGAUAUCUUCAGAGUGGAACUGUUGCCGAUCUUACUGAAUGAACUCACCGGACUCCUUGAACUCGUUUCACGCACCCAUUGCUACCAAAAGAAACAAUCACCCAAUAAACACCAGCAAGUGAUAAUACAACACACAAUAUGAUGCAUGUAUGGCACACACUUCAAAGCACACAUAGAAAUAAUCCUACUCAAAUGACAAAGUGCCACCUCAUCACAAAAUGGCACUUUUUUAGAACUGCUCAAAACUGCAAACUAGUGCAACCAUUAGAUUCCUUGGGUUUUUCUACCCCAAAUCCAUAUAUCAUACUGCUAUACUUGCAUGCAUAAAAAUACCACAAAACUGAAAAGGAAAUCUACCGAGAAUCAUAAAUCACUAUAUGUCAAAAUGAGAGGUUGAUUUUGCAUAUGCCAGGUUUGGCAUAUUCCAUCUCUGGAAUAUUAAAGAUAUGGAAAUACCCACAACUAAAAAUAAAUGCCCUCAAAAUAUAAUAUAACAUGGGGGGGCACGGGUUAUAGGCACCAGGGCCCUAGUGCAUGACUGGUGGGUUGUGUGGCCCACUGUCAGUGGCACAACUACAACAAUCAGCAACUUGCAACAGAAAAAAUGAAAAGGGGAGAAAUGUGGGUCGAACCCACCACCUCACCAAACACAACCAUGCCCCCAUGCCACUGGGCUACUUUGAUGUAGCUGCACUAAUAGGGGAGAAACUCAGAUAACCAACCAUUGCAUCCUAAUCCAUAGAAGGAAAAAAUAACCCAAAAGGGGUGCGCGCUAGGGGUCUCAAACCCACGACCAACAAGUGCGGCUGUGGCUCGGUUGCCACCGCGGUAGGUUGCGGGUUCUGCUAGAAAAGGGGCACCAAUUCAGAUAAGCAUAUCACAGGCUACACAACAGACCGAAAUUGCAGAAUUUAAAAGGGGUGCGGGGUUUUGACCCAAGACCAUCAGGUCUUUGUGUUGCGCUAGAACUAGUAGGCUAGGUAGGGGGAUUCUGUUGUAUGUUGGGAUCCACACGAGAUGUCAAAUUAAAAGGGGACGCCUUCCACUGCUAGAGAAGAGAGACGCCGGCGGCAUCUCACCGGUGCAAGCACAAGCACGCACACUCAUGACACUACAUGGGGAAACUGCUAGCGGUGUUGUGUGCUCGAGCAAAGGGCAUCUCUGGCCUUCGCAAACGCGCAUGCAAGCAAGCAAGCAGCUGUGCACGAGCGAGUGCAGCUGCACUCGCCGGUGCACUCUGCAACUGCUGCUACUACCACUAUGUCUCUGCAGCUACUUCCACUAUGGCAUUGCUGCUACUGCCACUACGAUGUUGCUUCUACUACCACAAUGGCGUUGCUUCUAGUGACACUACGACGUUGCUGUUAUUACGCGACGGUAGUGAAAAAAGCAACGGCGAUGGCAGUCUACGUGACGCCGGAUGGCUACAGACACAGAGGGGGAAGCAGAGGAGAGCAGUGUUGCGGCUCACCCAGGGUGGAGGGGAUUGGAACUCUAACGAAGGGGAGGAACGACGCGUCGACGAUCUCCUUGCAGAAGAGGUCGCAUGAGGUGCUGAAGAGCCAAUCGUCAUGGACGUCGAAGUGCUCACUCCUGGCGCCCGAUCACUACGGGAAUGGAUCCCUCUUGGCGUCCGCAUCCUUCGGGUGCAGCUGGGGAAGAAGGGGGCGACGCCUACGCCGGUGACGAGCUUGAGUAGGAGGCGGCCGUGGCGAUGAUGGUGGUGCUUGGGUCCUCGCCCCGAGGGUGCUAGGGGAAGAGGAGGAGGGAGAAUGGGCGAGGAGGAACCCUACGCGCAGGGCAUGGCUAAAUAGGCCAGAGGGGGGGCUCUGUUGGCCGUCUGAUCUUGGCCAAGGGGGAAUCGAUAGUGGCUGAGGAGUUCAUACACAGGGUGACGUCUAAAGGAGAAAGAAGGGACGCGCUGGUGGACCUAGGCCAAAACAAACAGAGCUGGGCCAGGCUUCCCUCCUUUGUGAGUUUAAAAGAUUUUGUAAAUAAAAACAACAGGUUGCUUUAAUAAAUUACAGAGGCUAAAAUAAAAAGGUUUUUGAUAAGAUAAGAAUAUCUUUGGUCUUCUAAAAUGUUGCCCCUGUUUAUAAAAAUAAGUAGGGCGUUUUAGAAGAAAAAAAUAAAUUCCUUUUAUUUAACAAUGAGUCUCCAUUUUUAAAUAAAACCAAAAGGAAAAUAUAAUAAACGCGAGGGGUUGCACUCCACAAUUAAUAGAAAGAAUUUCAGAAGACAGGAACAUUUUAUUUUACCCCAAAGAGAAACUUGAAACUCAACUACUAAUUAAAUUGGAAGAAAGGGUUUUAAAAGGGCUACGGUGCAACAAGUGGUUUUGAGUUGGAUCUUGUUGCACCAACACAGAAAACAAUUAGAUGCUAGUAAUUAUACAAUGCACACACACUUCAUACCAAGGUGCAACACAAGUAACUCAAGACAAGAACAAAAGAAAUGAUGUUAUGCAUGAUGCCAUGAUGCAAUAGAAAUGAAGCCAAACUUAAACUCUUUAUUAAAAUUCAACAUGCAAACAAAGGAAGGUUGCCAUACAAUGAAAGAUAUUACAAUAGGGGGCAGGAAUUGCAUUGGGACUGUUACAGCUCUCAAGCAAGGACUCAAGCAUUAGAUUGUCUUUAUAAUGCCACUUGAAAAGAAGAGUUUUUGGAAAGAGGCUUCGAAAAAAGUCAUGAAGCAAAUUAUUUAUCAAUUUUUUUAUUCUAGGCAAUAUUUUAUUUCAUAAAAAUAUUAUUAAUUUUUUGGGGUGUGGCAGUGCAUCGACUUCAUGACUUUUUAUGGAGAAACGGAGUAAUGCUUGAAGAAUGAUGACAUGAUGUAGACAAGAAUUAUUCAUGUGGGAAUAGACCCCAUCGUUUUAUCUUUAAGAGCAAAUAUACAUGCUUGUCAUGUCAUUUUGUGUCACUGAGAUUGAGCACCGCAAGAUCGAAUGCAUGACAAAGCACCUCUUCCCAUUCCAAGAUUAAAAGAUCAAGUUGGCCAGACAAAACCCAAAUAUCAGAGAAGAAAUACGAGGCUAUAAUAAUCAAGAAUGGUUAUAAUUUCAUAGAUCUGACGAUAAACUCACAAUUGAUCAUAUCCCAACAAACACACCGCAAAAGAUAGAGUUACAUCGAAUAGAUUUCCAAGAGAGCAUCAUAUUGAAAAGCAAAAAGAGAGACAAACCCAUCUAGAUACUAGCUAUAGACCCAUAGGUAUAAUAUGAACUACUCACCCAUCAUCGGAGGAGUACCAAUGAGCAUGAUGAACCCCUCCAUGACCGUGUUCCUCUUUGGAACGGGCUCUAGAUUGGAUUUUGUGGCUUCUAGAACUCGCGGUGGCUGAAAUGAUUUUUCGUCUUCUCUUCUAGGGUUUGUGUAAUAUUGUGGUAUUUAUAGAGCUUAGAGGCGGUAGAGGAGGUUCUUGAGGCCCCCACUACCCACCAGGGUGCGUCAGGGGCCCAAGGCGCGCCCUGGUGCCUCGUGGGCCACGUGGGCCUGCUCUAGUGAGCAUAUUUGGUCCUCAAGUUUCCUUAUGGUUAUAAAAAUCUCCAAAAAGUUUCGAGGCAUUUAGACUUCAUGUGAUAUUGAUUCUUUGCAAAGGAAAAAAUAUGUAAAAAUAACAACUGGCUAUAGGCACUAUGUUAAUAGAUUAGUUGCAAAAGGAGAUAUAAAGUUGCUAUAAAAUGAUUAUAAAACAUCCAAGAAUGAUAAUACAAUAACAUGGAACAAUAAAAAAUUAUAGAUUCGUUCAAGACGUAUGAGGGGGCUGAAGCCGAUGACUGGCAGCUUUCAGAUAAAAACAACCACACAUGAGUCAAAAUAAUUUAAUGAAGCAUGAUAUACCAUGCAAAGCAACUACAUCAUAAAUUGCAAGAGUUCAACUAUUAUUUGGUAUAUGAUAGUACUCUCACUCAUAGAUUAGAUCUUUUGAGCACUGAGCCUCUAUCGCCCGAGCACCAUCCAUUACAGUGGGAAAAUAUUGCUAGGGACGCCUAUGCUCCUUCCAAGGAGGUGGGGGUCAGGUAGCCGUCUCGGCUAGCUUGAUCUUUGGCCAAGGCACCAUGGUCUUCUUGGGGAACGUUGCAUGGGAAACAAAAAAUUUCCUAUGCACACGCAAUCCCUAUCCAUGGUGAUGAUCAUCUACGAGAGGGGAGAGUGAAUCUACAUACCCUUGCAGAUCGCUAAGCAGAAUCCUAUAUAACGCGGUUAAUGUAGUGGAACAUCUUCUGAUCCAAAUUGCAGCCCGUCCCGUGAUCUCAUCACGAUCCGUCCCGCGAUCCCAUCACGAUCCAUCCCGAUCUAGUGCCGAACGGACGGCACCUCCACGUUUAGCACACGUACAGCUCGAUGACCAUCCCCGCCUUCUUGAUCUAGCAAGAGCGGCAGAGAGGUAGAUGAGUUCUCCAGCACGGCGGCGUGGUGGCGGUGGUGGUUAAUUAAUCCAAUAGGGCUUCGCCUAAGCACCGCCCAACUAGACUAGAGGAGAAACAGAUCUAGAGAGAAGUAGAGGGAGAACAUGGCAAUUAGUGUUAGACCUCACCUCUAAAACCUCUAGUAUAUAUAGGGGGAGGGAGGGGAGGAGGCAGCCUCAAACCCUCAAGGUUUGGCCAAAAUUGGAGGUGGAGGAGUCCUACUCCAAUCCUACUAGGAGUAGGAUUCCUCCUUUCCACUUGGAAACCCUUUCCACCUUUUCCACCUUUGAGUUUUUUGCCUCUCAAACAUCAUGGGACCUAGUGGGAGCUUAUUUCAGCCCACUAGGGGCUGGUUUGUAUCCUCCCACAGCCCAUAAGGCCACUCGGGGCGUGACAACCCUUCCAAUGGUCCCCGGUACCCUCCCGGCACUCCCAGUACACUACGGAUGAGCCCGAAACUUUUCCGGUGAUCAAAACAAGACUUCCUAUAUAUCAAUCUUUACCUACGGACCAUUCCGGAGCUCCUAGUGACGUCCGAGAUCUCAUCCGGGACUCCGAACAACUUUUUGUUACCAACACCUAUAACUCAACUAUACCGAAAAUGUCACCGAACCUUAAGUGUGCAGACCCUGCGGGUUCGAGAACUAUGGAGAGAUGACCUGAGACACUCCCCGGUCAAUAACCAAUAGCGGGACCUGGAUGUCCAUAUUGGCUCCUACAUAGUCUACGAAGAUCUCUAUCGGUUGAACCUCUAUGUCAAUGAUUUAGUUAAUCCCGUAUGAUGUUCCCUUUGUCCUUCGGUAUGUUACUUGCCCGAGAUUUGAUCGUCGGUAUCUCCAUAGCUAGUUCAAUCCCGUUACCGGCAAGUCUCUUUACUCAUUCCGUAAUAAAAUAUCCCAUGACUAACUCCUUAGUCACAUUGUUUGCAAGGCCUAUUGUGAUGUUGUAUUACCGAGUGGGCCCCGAGAUACCUCUCCGUCACACGGAGUGACAAAUCCCAGUCUCGAUCCAUGCCAACCCAACAGACACCUUUGGAGAUACCUGUAGAGCACCUUUAUGGUCACCCAGUAACAUUGCGACAUUUGAUACACGCAAGGUAUUCCUCUGGUGUCCGGGAUUUACAUGAUGUCAUGGUUAUAGGAACUGGUACAUUGACAUGCAACAAACAGUAGCACUAAACUGACAUGAUCAUAUGCUACGUUUAUAGUUUGGGUCUUGUCCAUCAAAUCAUUGUCCUAAUGAUGUAAUCCCGUUAUCAAGUGACAACACUUGUCUAUGGCCAGGAAACCUUAACCAUCUUUGAUCAACGAGCUAGUCAACUAGAGGCUCACUAAGGAUAGUGUGUUGUCUAUGUAUCCACACAUGUAUUUGAGUUUCCAAACAAUACAAUUCUAGCAUGGAUAAUAAACGAUUAUCAUCAACAAGGAAAUAUAAUAAUAACCAAUUUAUUAUUGCCUCUAGGGCAUAUUUCCAACAGGUCUUUGCAAAGGCCAUCCGAGCUCCCUCUUUGCAUACAGAGCGCUUCAAGACAUUAAUUCAUGAUGCAACAUUGUAGAGCUUCUGCACCAAACCGAAGUAGCUGCUCAAUUGCAGUUUCGAAGGACAAGUGUGAAGUAGAGGUCCUUCAUGGACGUCUUCUCCAUCCAAUGCAAGUCCAUCAACACCUUCAUUUGAUGGGUGAGAGGGAGAGGAUGCUUGGGGGCAUGAAACUAUGCCCAGAACAUCCUUCGCUCGACAACCCCGUCCCGGAUUGCAAAAUAUCUUGCCGCAUCAACCACACUCCUCAAAAGAUCCGUGAAAUCUCCUUAAGAAUGCCACACACAUGUGAGAAACGCAAACCUGAUAGCACCGAAGGGAGAUUGCAAUAAGUACUCUUACCAUCCGCAAUAAGCUUGGUUUCGUGGAUCUCCUUCUGGUAGCCUUCCGCCUCCAUUCGGGCUUCUUGGAUCAGUGACGUCACCGAGGUCAGCUUGGGAGUUUGAUCUUUAUUCUUCUGCUCGAGGGACUCACAUUUACUAAUGACAUCAUUUUACUCCUGUUGCACCGGACGCACCCUGGCCUCGUGCCUCUCACUCAAUGUGUUUCUUGAUGUCAGUUUGGUGACUGCUCGGGCAACCACCUCCUUCUGCUCUGCGGCCUCUUGCCUCGCCUUGCUUAUCUCCACCUUGAGGUUCUCAACCUCUGUGGCGACAAUGAUAAUCCUAAAUAAGCACCUCAUGCUUGAUGAGGAAAACUACAAUAGUAACAAAUUCCAUUCUGAACUUACCUUACGCUUCGUCAAAACGCUUGUUGGGACGGUCGAGCUAUUCAUCGGAGGUCUUGAGCUUCCGAUUAAUUUCAUAAAACUCCAUUGCAUUGGCAUCUGCCGCUGAAGAUGACACCUACAUAAAAACGCUUAUGUGUGUCACACUUCCGAGCUAUCGAUUUUUAGACCCUCUGCGAAUCCUGCUAGACUCUCGGGGGCUACAACUCACUUUUACUACUAUCAAUGUUCUUGAACCAGUUUUUACCCCCACUCGAGUUUUUCUAAAACUCAACCAAGGCUCGGGGCAGCCAUAUAUAAGGAUUAUAUAAAUCUACAAAAAUAAAUUUUCCUUGUAAAAGGUUAUUACAUGAUUUACCUUGAAGCCCGUCACGAGGCCUCUGAAAGCCUCCUUUAGUCCGAUGUCAACGGACUAAAUGCUUUGCAAAACCGCACCAAGGAAAGUGUAGUCCUCUUCAGUGAUGGAGGGGCCAUUAAAAGCCUCCUCCAUCAUAAUCGGCCACCUGGUCUUGGCCUGUUUUACUACGGGUGGUGCUUGUGGCGGCACCUCGCCUCCCCUUUCGGUGGAGUCCGGAACGGACGACUCCGUCGGCGUGGGGAUCUCCGGGGCAGCCUUUGGAGGUAGCUCGGCAGACCAGGCUCCCCCUCUUUGUUCACCAGAAGGGAAUCUCCCUCCUCGUCUUUGGUGAUCGAGGUGGUAACCUCGGUCAUAAUGUCAUCGCACCGACCCCCCGUGUUCGCCUAGGGAGGGGUCCUUCGGAACAACUCCUUCACGGCCUCAUCGGUAGGCGAGGGAGGUGUAGUACGCGAUGCGGUCCCACUCUUCGCUAGAUCAGCUGGUGGAGAGUCCCCCUCCGAGGAUUGAUCGGUGGGAAGCUCACACGAUGGGCUACAAUAUGAAAGGAAUCCAUUUGGUUAGUAACAAAACCUCGAUAUGAACGCAAGACAGAGCCUUCAAAUUAAUACCUUUUCGCGAGAUGUUUGACACUGGGGUUCCUUCAUGGAACUAAUUCAUAAGCCUUGGACUCUCGUGCGGAGUUCGGUGUGUCAUCGGACAGGGCCACCUUGCCCGUGCACAAACUUUUCGGGGCAAGAGGAGGCAGAUCCUCCUCCGCGUCAUCGGACUCCUCCCUUUUUCUUGUUUGAGCCGAGUCACACUCCUCCCCGUCCUGUCCCUACUCUUCCUCGUGAGCAGAGGAGGUGUGGGUCUCCCCUGACUUAGUGUCUGGGGGUCCAUGUGAGCGGAGGCCCUCUCAUGCCUCCCUCUUCCCGCCCUUCUUCUUCUCUUUCCUCUUCGGCACCGUGUACGGCGCCUCGAUCAACAUCAACAUCAACAAGGCAGUCCUAGGGCCCUCGGGCAGCAGGGCUCGGCCAUCAAUUUGUACGACCCUCUCCAGCCAGCUCUGCAAAAGCGAGGAAGAAAGUAUUAAGUUCCUUGUUAAAAGGCAAAACCUAAACAUAAAAAUAAAAACUAUAUUAUACCUUCGUACGACGGUUUUUAGUGUCGAGGCCGAUGUCUUCUCACGGUCCGACCAGUCCUUUUGAGGCUUGAAUAGCACCUUCCACAACUUGUCAUGGGUGGUGCGGUAGAAGCGGCCUUGUAGGCCCACAUUAGGGAUGCCCGAUGUUGACAGGGGAGGAGGCAACGACAUAGAUUGAUUUGGACCACAUUGACCAGUUUGACUUUCUUUUCCAUCAUCUGGGAGACACGCUUCUACAACAACAUCACCUCCGCUGCCGACCACCAAUCAAGCCCCUUCUUAAUCCAUGACACUAGCCUAGUGCGAGGUUCGAAUAUGAAUUCUGAGGGAGCUGCCAUGUCCAUGCCGCGUGGUUUGGUGAUAUAAAACCAAUCUUUCUGCCGGAUUUUGUUGGUGUCGAUGAAGGUUCCUUUCGUCCACUCAACCUGAGGGAGCUUGCUAAUCACCACCCCCACAAUUCGAGUGCUUUCCAGCGACUAUCUUUGGCUUGAUGCUGAUGACCUUUAUCCACAAGCCGAAGUGUACCUGGACCCACACAAAGGCCUCAUAGACAAAAAUCUAACCCAUAGAAAAACAUCAAACCCCUUAAAAAGGGGUGGAGCGGGAAGUUAAGUCCACGGAUGAAGGGGGGAUGAACACCACCCUCUCUCCUUGCUUUGGCAUGGGGAUGACCUGUCCCUUGACUGGAGCACAAUGAAAUAUGUCGGCCAAGAAAUGGCCGGCGCGCUUCAGCUCCUGGAUAUCAUCGUUGGUGAUGCAGGAAGCCCCCACUUGCCCUUGGAACCAGAACCGGCCAUGGCCGAACUGGGGGAAUGGUUUGAGUAGAUUGGAGGGGAGGUUGAGCCCGGGUGCUUAGAGCUCAGAAGAUUGGGAAGACAAUGGCAAAUGCGAGAUGUGAGAAGCAUGCAGAGGCAAUGCUGGUUGUAUCCCUUUUAUAAGCUGCUACAAUACAAAGGGUGCCUUUAUUGCACCACGGACCUCAUCACUUUCCGAUAUAAUCAUGCACUUAUGCGUGCAUGGGACGUGCCAAUGAAAAAAUGGGGCACAAUCUCCAAAUCAUAAAACAUAUCCCUUAAAAAAUGGGGCACAAUCUUCAUAUUGAUGGGACGUGCCAAUGAAAAAACUGCCUCAAACCACGAAUCGAGUUUCCGUAACUGGUCAGUGGUCAUGACCGGCCGGUGCCCUUCACUAAAAGUUGUCAGGUAAAGGCACCAUUCAUACUCGAGUUUUUCUCCUUUAAAGAUGAGUAGCGCACAUAGUUCGGAACCCAAGAAGUCAUCGGUAGUCGAACUACCAUCAACCAAGCAUAGAAGAGGAGAAGAACUUGCCCCGCAAGCCGAAGACUAGAGCCAUGUGAAGCUGCUGAGGAUCGUGAACCUCGGCGUUGGAGGCUAUUUUGGGGGUUACUGAGGUAGUCCUAGACUAAGGGGUCCUCGGGCCGCUCGCCUAUUUCCUAUAGGCCGAACAUGUGGGCCGCUCAACGACUAUUGCAUAAAGGCCGAGCUAUAAGACGACGUCGUGUUCUAGGAGGUAAUAUUUGAUGCCUAGUGUGUCCUUCAAGUCAAGAUGGUUGGAUAGGCAUGUUUAUUCCGUGAUGUAACUGACCAUAUGUAACCCUAGGUACCUCUGACGUCUAUAUAAACCAGAUGGUUUACAUUCGUAGAACACAUCGACAAAACCACCAUCUAGGGUUUAGUUAAUAUGAUCUCGUGGUAGAUCGACUUUGUAAUCAUCAUACGCACAUCAGUACAAUCUAGUAGGACGUAGGGUUUUACCUCUUUCAGAGGGACUGAACCUGGGUAAAUAUUAUCUCUCUGUUCCCUGUUCACCAUUGAUUCAAGAUCCAUAGAUCGGGACCCCUACCCGAGAUCCGCCGAUUUUUACACUGACACACUCGACAUCAUCCGUGGGUCGCGUGCUUGACACAUUCAAUUGGGCCGGUACGCUCGCCAGACCAAUGGGCCCUUGUACAAAGUCGACCGAGCCAUCGUGACAUGCAUGUGUGUAGCCGGCCGACGGAGCUACGUCGCAUCAAUGAAAUUACUGCUCCAUCGGGACACAACUACGUCGCACCAGUGCAAUUAGUGCACCCUCGAGAUAAAACUUUACCGAUUGACAUGCCUCUAUUGAGUGUGAAAAACGCAUUCAAACGCCAAACAUUAACACAAAUAGUGCUUCGGUGGGCAAUUAGUACCACUAUUAGCGGGUGCUCCAAUGAACGCAUUCAAAUAGACGUGUCUCACCAUGGCUAUUUAAACUCCUCCCGUCUACAUCUUCACCUCAACUCGCAUCCACCUUCUUGCUCCUCAAUAUCCAAAGCACAGCGAGAUCUCUCCCAAGACAAGAUGUAGUUCUAUGACCCAACCUACCGCAUGCCGGCCAUUGUGCCGGACAUGCGGCACCCCACCCAGGUCGUUGUGGAAUACACCCUUUGCGUGUGGGCUAUAUCAAGGUGGAGGCAUCCGACAGAGCUAGAUAACUUAUUCCUUGCUGCCGGCAAUCGCCACCUCCCACACGUGUCUCUGGUCAUGUUCCGCAUUGAAGAGGUUUGUUCCAAUGGCCUUGUGUGAUUGACCCCACCGCUUGCUUCACCGACUGCUUCGACACCUACAGCCUCCUUGGCAAAGUAUCUUGGUGUGGGUGCGAGUUCAUCACUAUCACCACCCCAACAUCUUCAUCAACUUCAACAACAUGUUCCCACCCGCGAAGGCAUGCACACUCUCAUGUACAUUUUUCUCGAGGAUGACGAGUGAACGAGAACCCAAAGUGAACUUGGUGGUGUUCGGUGUUGACCAAUAUGCGAGGCUAGGUUAGUUGUAAGGACGCUCCUAUAAGCCCUAUUAAUAUGUAAUAUCUAGGGAAAUAUCUAUGCAUGUAAUGCUUGUGUUCCAUAUAUAUAAAGGGUAUAUAUUAAUCAAACUUGAAUUUCUAUUGACGUGAAUGUAUAUGACUUGAAUUUAUAUCAUCAAUGCAUGGUGCGACGCAACUCUUCGUGUAUAUUUACGCAAGAUUAAGUAAAUCUUUACAUAGAUGUAGGAUUGAUUUAGUUUUACGUGAGGAGUGCCUAUGUGGAAACAACCGGCGAUGCUGAUUCAUUUUUACAUGCCCGUUGAUCCCACACGUCCCCCGCAGACUAUGUAGGGUCAAUGUCCAUGCAAAUCAGUACUGCAUGCGGCUAAAUGUCGGUCUCAAGAAACUAUAUGCACAGGCAACGCGAAUGCAUGCGGCUAAAUGUCGGUCUCAAGCAACUAUAUGCACAGGCAACGCGAAUGCAUGUGGCCUUACAUGUUGGUCCGACGCAUCAACACCGAUGAUGUGUACAUGUGCGGCUUUACAUGUCUGUCCGACGCGUCAGCAGCAAUGAUCCGAAGUGAUGCGUAUAUGUGGCCUUACAUGUUGGUCCCACGCAUCAACAUUGGUGUAAUGACAGUCAAAGGCUUUAACCCGACGACAAGGCACCAUUUGUCUUCUCGUGAGGUGCACGCAAGUGGAGGAGGGGGAAAGUGUGCACUUUGAGUUGGGUGGGGCAAAACUGAGGUGUACUAAGGAAGUAAGGGCAGGAAAAUAGAUAUCACAUAUAAUUAACCCACACGUCUCUUCUCAUGCGAGCUACAUUAUUUUUUUAUUAUAUCCUCCUUGAAUACCUAUCCUUUUUGGACUAGUAUUAUAACAUGUGCACAUUACCUUCCCUAUUAUUUAGACUCUCAAAAAUAUUGAAGUGAAGGAUGUGAGCACAAUUGUUUCUCUAAGAUUUGACACCGGGGUGCUCUAAAAAUAUAUAAGCGAAGCACUAGAACAAUUGCCUAGCUCAAAAGAUAUAAGUGUAGCACAUAGAGUAUUCUAACAAAUUAUGACGAGCAUGUGUCUAUCUCGAAAAUAUGUUUCCAGAAACCAAUGAUUGUGGCAAAUUAAAAAGAAAAGCAACUAUAAUAAAUGCCGCUCCAAGCAAAACUCAUAUCAUGUGAUUAAUAACAAUAUAGCUCCAUGUGGCAUACCAAUAGAAUGGAGACAAAAGAGGGGAUUCCUUUCGAGGCAACCCAAGCUUACACUUUUGGGUCUUCCUUGAAUAUUACCUUGGGGUGCCUUCAGAAUCCCCAAGGUUAGGGUCUUUCCUCUCCUUAUCCCUUCAUGCAUCAUUAUCUCACCCAAAACUUGAAAACUUGAGCACACAAAACUCAAUAGCAACCUCCUUAUUCCGUUGGUAUAAUACGUAAAUCAUAAACUUUAGGUACUGCUGUAAAUUGAUUCAUAUUUAAUAAUUUCAUAAGUUACUAUAUUAUAACUUCUCCAUGACUUACACCCCCUGAUAUAAUCCAUAACAUCAUCAAAACAAGCAGACUAUGCAAGCAAAAAUUGUAUAUGUCUAAAGCGGAACGGUUUGUGAUGAUCAAGCCAAAACCAUACUUCUGUAACUCCGAAAAUCCUGAAAAAUUAGAAAAACCUGGGAAAUUUUAUACCAAUAUUAUGUAAAAAAUUAGAUCAAAAGAACAAUUGAGUAAAAUCACAGAAAUGUUGCACCGGACGUAAAAGUUUUUGUUUUUGCACACGAUCAAUUCUACUAUCUUCCAAAGUAUCCCAUAGGCUUUACUUGGCACAAAAAGUAAUUAAAACACAAAAACACAACCAUUACAGUAUAAAUAAUCACGUCAUCACCCUAAAAUAGAAGGUAAAAGAAAAAUAUUUAAAAUAACUAUUGGGUUGCCUCCUAACAAGCGCUAUUGUUUUAUGCCCCUAACCACACAUGACGCAUAAUAUCAAGUGUUGCUAUAAUCGUAAGGAAUAUUUAGCAUGAUCAUAUCAUAUUCCCUCCUUUCAACAUCAACGUUUCUAAUGGGUAAGUAAAAUAAAUUAAAGGGACUAUAUUUCACAAUGCAAGGAUCUGUGAGGUUAAGCUCACGAGGAGGAUGCUCUUCUUUAGGUCUUUCAUAGGUAAUAGAUAUUUCUUUUGUAUACAAAUUUCUAUAAAGGUAUUCCCUUAAUUUCUUUUCAAUCAAAUAAUCUUGUCCUGGAGUACCUACGGUUAAUUUAUCAUUGUAUAUAAAUAUUUUAUCAAUCAAAACAUUUGGUGAAACUUCCUAAGAUUCUCAUCAUAAGAAACAUAGUCUGUUGAUUUUACUUUCCUUAUUUCUUAUUGGUCAUCAAGAAUUCCUUAUAUAGGUGGGCACUCGCCAUUGAUUAUAUAGUGAGCAAUAUUUCUCUAGCUUGUUUUAUAAUGAUGAAAAUAGUGGAUAAACGUUUAGGAUGGGGAACAUGCAUGUUAGAAAAUUCUAGAAAAGCCUUUGUACACUAGGAUGCAUAUGCACAAAUUGUCUCUCCAAAUAUACUACUAGCAAAUAUAUAACAUCCACAAAACUCGUAGUUCUAGUAAGUAUUGAUCCACCUAUUAUAGGCAACGAGCCAUCACAAGUAAAGAAAUCUUGCAUCAAACUUUUUUCAGUAAUAUUACCACUACCUACACAGAAUUUAUUUGUAUGCAUAGUAGCGGGUUAUCCCUGAUAAGGAUCACCAUCAGCAAGAUUUUCAAGUGUUUGUGUAGCAACUUCAUCAAAAUUCCUUCGAAUGUUUUCAUAAUUGGUGAAUCUUGAUGAUCUAAAGGUUCUGCACUAGUAGCGGGAGCAUCAUUAAACCUUUUAAAUUCACACAUGCUAGGGACUUAGAGAAAAACCAGAAAACAAGAAAAUAAAAAUAUUUUUUGUGUUUUUGAUAUUUUUGAGCAAGCAAAUAUUGAAGGAAGUAAAAGUAGAACAAGUGAAUAAUAAUGAGAAUAAUAAUUUAUGUCAAGGAAAUAAAAAUAUUGAAGGAAGUAAAAGUAGAACAAGUGAAUAAUAAUUUAUGUGAAGGAAUCUAAUGAAAAUUUGAUGAUGUCUCCCCAGAAAUAGUGCGAGAAAUUCUUGGUGCUACUUGUGGGUUGCGUUUGGUUUUUCCACAAAGAGUAAGGGUCAAGCAAUAUAGUAGCGAUAAAUAUUUCCCUUAGUGAGAAUCAAGGUUAUCGAACCAGUUGGAUAACCAAGCAAACCCUCGUCGUCAGCACCUACACACACAAAACCAAGCACUUGCAAACGAUGUGGGCAAGAGGGUUGCCAAGCUCCUUGAACUCGUUACUUGGAGGGAUUAAUUGUGAUAGAUAGAGAUUUAUAAAUUGGAAAAGUAAAUAAAUGGAAGCAAGGUAUUUUUGGUUUUUUGCAGUAUGAUUAGGUAGACCCGGGUGAUGCGUCCACAUGAUUUCUUAUUAGUAUUUAUAUGAUUCUUUGUUAUUAUUCCACUUUAUGAUACAAUUCUUAUGCCUUUAUGAAUUUACAAGGCACAUCACAAAGAGGAAAAUUACCGGAAAGUCGAAUUGGACCUGAAAACCAAGAAAAGGCUGAAAAUUCACUAGACUCCAAAUGACUUCAAAUUCACGAGUACUUGUUGUGGAAUAUAUAUGACUUUAUGGAUAAAAAAUGUACCAAAGGGGGGCACUUGUUGGUGCCAAGCUAAGAGAGCGUGCCCACCCCCCCUACGCGUGCCCUUUAUGGCUUGGGCCCCCCUCCCAGGUGCUUCAGCAUCCCUCUUCUGCUAUAAGUUGGGUUUUGACCUCGAAAUACUUUCGAGAUGAAGCGCCGCCGUCUCGAGGUGAAAACAUGGACAGAGGCGCUUUUGCUCUUCGGCAGAGCAAUUCUGCCGAGGAAACUUCCCUCCGGGAUGGGGAAAUUGAAGCCAUCUUUAUCACCAAUGCUUCCUCCUUCAUGGGAGGACCAAUAUUCAUCAACAUCUUCACUAGCACCAUCUCAUCUCAAACCCUAGUUCAUCUCGUGUAUUCGAUCUUGGUCUCAAAUCCUCAGAUUGGUUACUAGUAGUGUUGAUGACAUCUUGUAGUUGAUGCUAGUUGGUUUAUUUGGUAGAAGAUAAUUUGUUCAGAUCCUUAUUCAAAAUUAUUGCACCUCCGAUCUGGAACAUGGUGAUGAUUUGUGAGUAGUUACUUUUGUUCCCGAGUGAAAGGACGUGGAAGUCGCCUAGAGAGGGAGGGGAUGGGGUGAAUAGGCACUUUAAAAUAAUUAUGGUUUAGCUUGAACAAAUGCGUAAUAAAACAUGCACUUAAUUAGUAAAGCACAAAACCUAAAACAACUAGGGUCACCUAUGUGCACCAACAACUUAUGCUAUGCAAGAUAAACAACAAAGUGACAACAAGAUAUAUAAUAGGAAACAAUAUGGCUAUCACAAAGUGAAGUACAUAAGUAAAGGGUUCGGGUAAGAGAUAACCAAGGCACGUGGAGACAAUGAUGUAUCCCGAAGUUCACACCCAUGUGGAUACUAAUCUACGUUUGGAGCAGUGUGGAGGUAAAAUGCUCCCUUUAAGUGCAUCUAGUUCCCCUUAGUGAUUUUGGUGUAUUGAAGACUUAUAUGUUAAGGGACUAAUGUGUUUUUGAGUGUACACAUGUCCUAUAAGUCCGUGAGGAGUUUGGUUAUCAGACAGAAGUCGACCCAUAAAAAUUGUCUUCAACUGAAGACUUUGAUGCUUUUCUUGAGGACUUUGAAAAUGAAGAAAUCUGGAGUGACCUUGAAGAUAUUGAUGCGAGGACUAUGAAGCGUGAAGACUUCUGUUUUCAUAGUUUCUUUUCUUCUUUUUGAGUCAUAGGAAACAUCAUACUAUUAAAGGGGGUCGAGGUAAUACUAAGGAAAAUUUCCAGGUGAUGCUCAUCUCAAAACCUACACGUACCCAAUCCUUUGAGUGAAGCCUUUGGAAACUCUUACCGUUUAGUCGAAUUCUUAAGUGACAAAGACGAAGUUCUUCUGGUGUUUGAGGAAGUUGGUCUGAUUGAGGAGUUAGGAUUCCUCCAGUGCAAAUUGCCUACCGUGAGGAAUAUCAUAGCCCUGAGGAAUUUGAGAGUUUGAAUUCCGACCAUUGUUGUGCUUAGUGCCAGUUGUCCCAAAGGAUCUUAUCCUUACAAUGGUCAUAUCAUUAGGGGCAUUUAUGUCAUACCAUGUUUGGUUGCACCCUCGCUAUAAAUAGCCACCCCUAAAACCAAUAGCUGGUUGGUUGGUUCGAGAGAGAAAUUGACAAGUGUCCUUGGAGAGCAACCCAUCCUACGAAGACUUUGAGCGAAAUCAUCAGUGAGGAAACACCCAAAAAUGCAACACCUAAAACCCGCAAUGAUUAAGCAUCACUCAAGAGAUUGUUCCUGUGUGGAAUCGACGCUGUUACCUUUAAAGACCGUCUAUUUUCCAUAUGGUUAGGCGUCAUGGUCUAGAGCAUCCAAGAGGAAAUUGUGGAUCACCGGGUGACCAAGUUUGUGAUGGUUUGGAAGUAUACCUUGAAGACUUACCACGAGUGAUUGGGCGAGGUAUCUAUGAACUUAGCUCAAUGAGAAUACGGUAAGGACUAUGUGUCCUAGGAUGGUUUGUCCUUUGGUUUAAAUACUAAGCCACUGCAAACCAGACAUACGAGUGUAACAAUAGUUGGAACUGGUAAACCAAAUCAUUGUCUUGACUAAGAUAAUAGUUCUAUUUCCUCAACCCUUUCAUUUCCUCGAUUACUUGUUGAUGAAAUUGAUCAUUAAUGUUUGAAGAAUUUGAUUGAAUACUUUCUCAAUUUCCUUAAUCCAAAUUCUUGAGUCACCUUAUCUAUCGUGUGCUUAUUUUGCUUUACACACUACUUGUACCACAUCUAUGCUUCAUUUCACCGUGAGAACUUUGCUACUAUCAUGUUAUUCAUCUACUUGAGUACUUUAUCCGCUUCAUGUAUUUCGAUACUCAGCACAUUCCUCAAGUAGUAAUUCCUCAGUGACGAAUUUGUAAAAAUCACCUCCUGACCCCCUCUGGUCGACAUAAUGCACUUACAAUUGGUAUCAGAGCAAGGUACUCCCUUGUUCUAUGUGAUUUUGGUCUAACCACGUGGAGUGUUAGUUAUGUCGACUACAUGUAUGAUCAAGAUCUCUUCAAGGUGUCCUACCUUCGAAGGGGCAGACUACCCCUACUCGAAGAACAAGAUGUGUAUGCAUGUUGAGGUGAUUGACAAUGAUCUAUGCUAUGUUGUAGAAAAUGGUGUUCCCUAUGUCCCUCCCACUAUCAAUGUUGUCGUUGUGAAGAGGUUCAAACAACUUGACUCUCAAGCAAAGAAUAUCAUAUGUGGCCAUGUGAGAAAAGGUUAGUAUGCCGAAGUGAGUGCUUUGGAAUCUACGAAGCUCAUCUGGGACACGAUAUCCAAAGUCAACGAAGGAGUCUCAACAUAACGUGACUCUCAAGUCGAUGUUCUUUAGAAUCUCUUCAAUCACUUCAAAAUACUCGACAACGAAAAUGUUCAGCAAACCUUCGAUCGCCUCACUAUUAUCUCCAAUGAGCUCCAAGCCCUUGGUACCACGGACAUCACCAACCAUGAGGUGGUGAAUAAAUUGCUGAGAACUGUAGAUUCCUCAUUUGACACACUUGCUUUGAUGAUUCAAGACCAUGGAGAGUACAAGUCACUAGACCGUGGUGAUAUUGUUGAGAGGCAGGAUACUCAUGAAUUUCAACAAGCUGAAAAAAGAGAUAUCUAUGGGCCAAGCUAUGGAAGAUCUCGUGCAUUGAAGGCAAAGGCAAUUUCCUCAUCUGAAGAAGAAGAAUGUGACAUAAGUCUUGGUGAUAUUAAAGAAAUUGGACAGAGCUAGAAAUGCUUAUCAGGAAAUUCCAGAAGCUCACAAAAAGAGUCUGGUCUGGAAAAUCUUCGAUAAGUGAUGUGAAGAAAUCAGAAUCUUCAUCACACAAGACUACAAGGUAAGAACUUGACACAAAUGCAAGAAGUCCGGCCACUAAAUUGCUACUUGCCCUUGCUGGGAAAAUGAAUCAAAGAAGAAGAAGUUCAAGGAUGAUAGUUCUAACAACAAGAAAAAGAAGAAGUCUUCAAAGUACUCAUCCCAUAAGAAGAGCAGUUCCAGAAAGGCUCAGGCACUUAUUGGCAAGGAAAUGGAUUCUGAAAAAGCAUGUUAAUGAUAUGAGGAAGAGGAGGAAUCUGAGGAGUCAGACUCUGGUGUGUCAAGCCUACCUAUUGCUACCACAUUCGUCAGCAAGUCCAUCUUCAACAUUGAAGAAAAUGACAUUGUCAACGACACUGAAGACUACACGACGACUUUGCUCCCACCUAUUGCUUCAUGGAAAAAGGUGCCAAGGUACCCAAAGAUGCUUCCUUUUCUGACUCAAGUGAGGAUGAAUCUGAUGAAUAUCAGAAACCUGGUUACUCCAAACUUGCUAAUAUUGCCCCAAGCAACAAAAUGCUACGGAAAAGCUUCGGAAACUAUUAUAUAAAAGCGAUGACCUGUUGAACGAGGAAAUGAAUUACACUCAAACUUUGACUGAUGGUUUUCAAAGUCUUCAGUCUAUUGCUGCAAAUUCCUCAAUUAUUGCUAAUUCUUCACAUGAAAAUUCAAAUGCUUCUAUUGCUGCAAAUUCCUCAACUAUCUUCAUGCACACAAAUUCCUCAUCUGAGGAUACCAUAGGUGUCACUGAUGAAAAUGCCGGGUUGAAGGAAUUGUAUGUGACAUGCAUGUAGGAAAGUCUCAAAGGGCAUAAAACCCUUUGAAGUGUGCUCAAAAAGCAGAUUCAGAACAGGAACCCAAGGAAAGAGGGUAUUGCAUUUUAGACGAAACUCAAUGCUGAUGGACCCGAGUGGAAACCCGAGCAGUAUCCCAAAACAUCAUGGUUUGAUGCAAAAGGACCUCAUGUAGAUCCAUCCACCUUAUCUGGCUUUACUUGUGAAUCUUCAUAUUCCUGUGAUGAGUCAUUUGACUCCCACUGCAAUUUUUUCAAAAAUUAGAAUGGUGAAGUAUUUGCUAUAUAUGUUGGAACAAAUUGCAGGAAUGGCCCCCCUAUGAGGAAAAUCUAGGUUUCCAAGAGCUCCAUGGGAAGUAUUCAAGUGAAUGUCCUCAUGACACCACCCAUCAAGAAUAGGAACCUAGAUCAAAUUCCUCAUAUGGACCAAAGUCCUCACAUGGACCAAAUUCCUCAUAUGUUUAAAAGUCAACUCAUUCUCGUGCUAAUGCUUAUGUUUUGCAGGGAAAAUCUAAGUGUCAUGAAUAUGUGCAUUAUUCUUCGAACCAUUAUGUUCAUAAGUCCUCAAAGAAUUCAUGUGCUUAUUCAUAUGAGUACACUAACGUCCCUACUGUGAAACGUAGUGCAUUAGCUUCAUUACCUAAAUUCUCAUAUGGUGGUCGUAGAAUGAUGAACUAUUUACCACCCUUACAAAUGUGGGUGGUGACCAAAAUGAACUAAUCACUUCUGCAAGGUCAGGUCUCUAGAUGAACUUGAACGUCUCAAGAAUUUUCUCGACACAUAAGGAAAAUGCUUGAAAGGAUGCAAAAUAAUUAUGAAGAAAUGAAUCACUCAUUUCUCACAUCCUCAUGUUAAUUUAACUACUGAACAUUUUAAUGAAAUUUAGUUUGACGAAUUUGAUACCAUAUUCUUCACUCUGAAGUAUAUGAGUUUCUAAGUUGCACUAAUUCAUCUACAUGUUGAACCAACAAAAGCCACUGAGUGGGUCCUUGAUAGUGGAUGCACCAAUCACAUGACUGGAGGCAAGAAUCUUUUGAUCGACCGAGCACUUGCUCCAUCUCAUCUGAAGCAUCUCACCUACACUGACAAAGGAAAAAAGCAUGGUAUUGGGUCUAGGUAGGGUUGGAAUCUUGAAGGAUCGACACACGGAUAAAGUGAUGCUUGUUGAAUCUCUCAGAAUCAACCUCAUACGAGUCUCAAUGCUUUAUGAUCUUGAUAUUGUUAUCAUCUUUGGCAAAUAUCGUUGCGUAGGCGUCAUGAAAUCUGACAAACCCAAAGUCUUUGAAGGUUUUAGGAGAGGAGAUUUUUAUAUUGUUGAUUUCUCCACAGAUCCACAACCGACUACACGAAUACUUACAAAAGCUUCAAAAGGAUGGCUAUGGUAUUGGCCACUUGGACAUGCUAGCAUGAGGAACCUGAAUACUCUCGUGAAUAAGAAGCACGUCAUGGGCAUUGAGGGUGUCAAAUUCCACAAUGAUCAUCUGUGUGGGGCUUGUGAGUCUGGAAAGAUGACCAGAUCCAAGCAUCCCUCCAAGACUAUCAUGACCACCACUCGUCCCUUUGAAUUGCUUCAAAUGGACCUAUUUGGUCCCACUCAUUAUGCCACACUAAUCAAUGCUGCAUAUUUAUACCACUUUGUCAUUUUUGAUGAAUGUUCUCGUUACACUUGGAUGCAUAUUAUCUGGUACAAAACUGGAGUGCAUCAAGUCUUUAGACGAUUUUCUUCGAGAUCCUUGAUGAAUUUUGGUGUCAAGAUCAAGCAUAUCAGGGGUGAUAAUGGGAUCGAGUUCAAGAACACUAGUCUUGAUGACUUUGUUUAUGAACUUGGUAUUACUCAUGAGCUGUCUACCCCAUAUAAUCCUCAGCAGAAUGGCGUCAUGAAGCGCUAGAUCUAGACUCUUGUGGAGAUGGCUUGCACCAUGGUUGAUGAAUACAAGACCCCUCAUCGCUUGUGGCUUGAGGAUAUCAAUUCUGCCUUCCACAUCAUCAACAUGGUAUAGCUUCAUGAAUUCCUCAUGAAGGCUUCAUAUGAACUCCUAAGUGACAAGAAACCCAAUGUGACUUAUUUCAAAGUCUUCGGUGCUAAAUAUUGGAUUAGAGAUCCUCACAACAAUUCUAAAUUUGCAUCAAAAACACACGAAUGUUUUAUUCUUGAUUAAGGGAAGGACUCACACACCUAUAGUUUCUUCAACACCUACCACAACAAGGUUGUUGAAACUAUAGAUGUGUUGUUCGAUGAAACUAAUGGCUCGCAAAGAGAGCACCUCCCUCCCGUGCUAGAUGAAAUGCCUCCUGAGGAAUCCAUUAGGUUCAAGGCUACUGAAGAUAUCAUACCCACUGAAAAACCUCUACCAGCUGUGGAAGCCAUCCAAAACAAUGAAGACAUUCAUGUCGGUGAACCUGAGGAAACUGGUGCUGAAGAAAAUCCUGAGCCUAAACAAAGUCGUUGACCUACUCAUCCUAGAGUGGCUAAUGAAGUGAAGAUUGACAAAAUCCUCAAUGAUAUUAAUGCACCAGGUCCCCUCACUCACUCAAAAGCUUUACACUUGACUAACUUUUAUGGGCACUUUGCUUUUGUCUCUAUCUCACAGCCCACCAAAGUAGGUGAAGCAUUUAUGAAGCUAGAGUGGAUUCAAGCUAUGCAAGAGGAAUUACAUCAAUUCAACCUCAACAACGUGUGACAACUUGUGAAGCGGACAGAUCCACGUAAGCAUAACAUCAUAGGUACCAAGUUGAUGUACCACAACAAAGAAGAUCAAAAUGGUCAAGUGGUGAGUAAUAAGGACUGUCAUGUAGCACAGGGCUACACACUGGUUGAGGGAGUUGACUUUGAUGAAACUUCUGCACCUGUUGCUAGACUUGAAGCUAUUUGCAUACUGCUUGCUUAUGCUAACCAUCACAAUAUCAUCUUAUAUAAAAUGGAUGUCAAAAGUGCAUUCCUUAAUUCUAAGAUUGAGGAAGAAGUAUAUGUUGCUGAAGCCCUCGGUUUUGAUGAUCCUAAGUAUCGUGACUAACUCUUCGGACUCAACAAGGCUUUCUAUGGCUUCAAGCAGGCCCCUCGGGCGUGGUAUGAUUCUUUGAAGGAAUUCCUCAUGAAGAAAGGCUUCAAACCCAGUUCACUUGACCCAACUCUUUCCACGAAAUCUUAUGAUGAUGAAUUAUUUGUAUGCCAAAUAUAUGUGGACGAUAUUAUCUUUGGUUGUACUGACAAGCAUUAUAGUGACUAAUUUGCCUACAAGAAGAGUGAAUAAUAUCAAAUGUCUAUGAUGAGAGAGCUUAAAUUCUUUUUUAGGCCUUCAAAUUUGUCAACAACGCAAUGUAAUCUUCAUCUCUCAAGAGAAAUAUCUCAAGGUUGUCUUGAAGAAAUUCGGCAUGCAAGAUUGCAAAGACACCAAGAUCCCUAUGCACACAAACAGGCAUCUAUGCAUUGAUGAAAAUGGUAAAGAUUUUGAUUAGAAGGUAUAUCGCUCCAAGAUUGGCUCUUUAUUGUACCUAUGUGCAUCUAGGCCACAUAUCAUGUUUGGUGUUUUCAUUUGUUCCCGUUUCCAAGGAAGACCGAAGGAAUCACGCCAUACGCUUGUGAAGCAUAUUCUUUGAUAUCUAGCUCACACACCAACGCUCGGAUUAUGGUACCCCAAGGGCUCGGAUCAUCAUCUUAUUGGAUAUUCUCACUCCGACUAUGAUGGAGAUCGCGUGGACCGCAAGUCAACAUCAGGCAUAUGCCAUUUACUCGGAAGAUCCAUAGUCUGUUCAUCCUUGAAGAAGCAAAACUGUGUGUCACUAUCUACUGUUGAAGCUGAGUACAUUGCUGCUGGUUCCUGUUGUGCACAGUUGCUGUAGAUGAAGCAAACCCUCAAGGACUACGACGUCAAUGUGAAGAAUGUUCCCCUCUACUGCGACAAUGAGUAUGUCAACAAGAUUACUCACAGCCUAGUUCAAUACUUGAAGACAAAGCACAUUCAGAUUUGUCACCAUUUUCUUCGUGAUCAUGUGCUGAAGGGCGACAUCUUCAUCGAUCACGUGAAGGCUGAAGAACAACUCGUUGAUAUCUUUACUAAGCCCUUGGAUGAAAAGAGAUUUUGCAAGUUGCGCUGUGAGCUAAAUAUCUUAGAAUCUUUGAAUGUUCUAUGAAAGGACAUACAUCCUAACACUUAUGCGAAAUUGAUCACUUAGAUGUGUAACACACGAAAUGACAUUUUUCUUUAAGAAUUGAAGACUAACCCUCCAAGUGUGAAGAAAUUGAUGAAGAAUUUGAUUCUCAAAACCCUAUGAAAAUUGUAUGCGGCGUCUGAAAUCGUCAUGAUUCUUAAACGGUGGGUCAUGCCACCAACGAUAGUUGAAAUUCUUCAAACUGAGUUUUUCGUCAUUUUUGCAAAUUCCUCAAAAUUUUCAAAGUCUUCAAACUGUACAAUUGUUGUUGUUCAUUGACUAUGUAUUAUAUAUAUAUAUAGAAACUCUAUUCAUCACCCAGGGUGCAG